GCAGUAGUAGUAUAGUGGUUAGUAUGGUGCCUUGCCAAUAAACUUUUGAGAAAAAGUUUAAUCAAAAGCAAAAAGGCAUCGACCCGGGUUCAAAUCCCGGCUACUGCA
rnacentral:tRNA from 1 species